rnacentral:lncRNA from 1 species
GCAGACCAGAGCAAGGCCCUGGACACUGUCCCAGACACCCUGCCCAGCCCUGCAGGAGGGACAGUUCAGGUGGCACUUGCUGGAGACGUGUGCCAGAGGUUUCCCUAUUACUGUACACACUCCCUCUUCUCUGCUCUUCUCCUCUUCAGCUUCACCCAGGAUGACAGCAUUACCCCCACAAGCAGGUAAGGCGUCCAUUCCUGGGACUGGGCCAUGCUGUGACCCACACAGCCAGCGGGAUAAGUCACUUUAUCAGGGUGUGAAAUGCCCAGGAAGAGCUGCAAGGCUGUUAGGGAUGGGGAGGGGCUGUAAUGUACCCAGAGGAUGGGAGCUGCUGCAUCACCCGGCCCUUGGCACCCAACACCUGCUGCCUUGAAUGACUGGGAUUUCCCCCGGGGUCAUCCAACUGACAGAGGGAAAGCCGCCGUGCCUGUUGUCAUUUGCAUUAUCCUGGGGGCUCUUCUCUGCCUGCUCCUGGCCCUCCUGGCUGGGCAAACUGUCAAGGCACAGCGCAGAGGCUCCAGGAGAACUGAGGAGCCCUUCCCUGAGGUUGUGUAUGAGGAGAUCGGAUACAGCUCUGCAUGGGAGAAGCAGACAACGUUUGAUCACUCAGACAUUGCUAUUGUGCCCAGAGAUGAUCCAGAAGAAGGCUAUGAUGAUGCCAAGGAGGUUUCUGAACCUGGGAAUGAUCCUGACUCUGGGCAGGGUCACUCUGAAGUGCCCAGGACACAAAAGGAGGAAGAGGAGCCAAUGGAUGCAGUCAGAGGUAAGAAGGAAAUGAAUUGCAGCUCUGCUAGUUACCACAUACCGUUCCCUGUCUUAGGUGAAUUGCUGCAGUACCAUGAGCCCAGCCUUUUAUGA